rnacentral:rRNA from 1 species
UACAGGUCUUCGGAUGCUGACGAGUGGCGAACGGGUGAGUAAUACAUCGGAACGUGCCUAGUAGUGGGGGAUAACUACUCGAAAGAGUAGCUAAUACCGCAUGAGAUCUACGGAUGAAAGCAGGGGACCUUCGGGCCUUGUGCUACUAGAGCGGCUGAUGGCAGAUUAGGUAGUUGGUGGGGUAAAGGCUUACCAAGCCUGCGAUCUGUAGCUGGUCUGAGAGGACGACCAGCCACACUGGGACUGAGACACGGCCCAGACUCCUACGGGAGGCAGCAGUGGGGAAUUUUGGACAAUGGGCGAAAGCCUGAUCCAGCAAUGCCGCGUGCAGGAUGAAGGCCCUCGGGUUGUAAACUGCUUUUGUACGGAACGAAAAGCCUGGGGCUAAUACCCCCGGGUCAUGACGGUACCGUAAGAAUAAGCACCGGCUAACUACGUGCCAGCAGCCGCGGUAAUACGUAGGGUGCAAGCGUUAAUCGGAAUUACUGGGCGUAAAGCGUGCGCAGGCGGUUUUGUAAGACAGUGGUGA